AGAGUUUGAUCAUGGCUCAGGACGAACGCUGGCGGCGUGCUUAACACAUGCAAGUCGAACGAUGAAGCUGGAGCUUGCUCCAGUGGAUUAGUGGCGAACGGGUGAGUAACACGUGAGCAAUCUGCCCUUGACUCUGGGAUAACUGCGGGAAACUGUAGCUAAUACCGGAUACGACACCUUGGGGCAUCCCGGGGUGUGGAAAGAAUUUCGGUCAAGGAUGAGCUCGCGGCCUAUCAGCUAGUUGGUGAGGUAAUGGCUCACCAAGGCGACGACGGGUAGCCGGCCUGAGAGGGUGACCGGCCACACUGGAACUGAGAUACGGUCCAGACUCCUACGGGAGGCAGCAGUGGGGAAUAUUGCACAAUGGGCGCAAGCCUGAUGCAGCAACGCCGCGUGAGGGAUGAAGGCCUUCGGGUCGUAAACCUCUUUUAGCAGGGAAGAAGCGAAAGUGACGGUACCUGCAGAAAAAGCACCGGCUAACUACGUGCCAGCAGCCGCGGUAAUACGUAGGGUGCAAGCGUUGUCCGGAAUUAUUGGGCGUAAAGAGCUCGUAGGCGGUUUGUCGCGUCUGCUGUGAAAAUCCAAGGCUCAACCUUGGACCUGCAGUGGGUACGGGCAGACUAGAGUGCGGUAGGGGAGAUGGGAAUUCCUGGUGUAGCGGUGGAAUGCGCAGAUAUCAGGAGGAACACCAAUGGCGAAGGCACAUCUCUGGGCCGUAACUGACGCUGAGGAGCGAAAGCGUGGGGAGCGAACAGGAUUAGAUACCCUGGUAGUCCACGCCGUAAACGGUGGGUGCUAGUUGUGGGCCACAUUCCACGUGGUCCGUGACGAAGUUAACACAUUAAGCAC
rnacentral:rRNA from 1 species